rnacentral:lncRNA from 7 species
AUAAGAUUUUUAACUGAGAAGCCAGAAGAUGUGAGCCUGCUGGAGGGGAUGGAGUGCUGGUGUUACGUGGUGUUGUGACCUGCUUCUCUUGGGAAGUUUGUGAGGUGGAAGUCAAGAGCCCUGGAAUUUGGAACUGGAGAGGACGCGUUGCAGUCGGUGGCCGUUUCAUGUAGAGGAGCAGUGAAGCACUACCAGCCCUUCUCCUGGCCCUCCUUGCGUAAUCUUCUUUAAGCUGCGACUAUUUGCAGUAUCUUUUAAACGAGGCAGAAUCAGAAACAGUCACAUGCUGCAAAUCUGCACUUCUUGAAGAAAAAGCAGAAUUUUUGCUUCUGUAAAACUGAAUUCAGCCUGCCCAGGGAAGAGCCGUGCUUGGAAGCUACUGCAGUGAGAUAAAGAAGGGGCAGAACAGCAGGCGACCUCCGAGACGCAGCGGAAACUUAAUACUCCACGGAUACAAUUUUUCAGACAGUUUAGAAAUAGUUUAAGGUAAUUUACGGGAAGGCUUGAGUGACAAAGCGCAUUACUUGAAGUGCCUUUCCUUCACUGGGCACUUUCUAAAUUCAUUCUCUUUCAUUUCUUUGCUCUCUGGAGACCUUUAAAUCCAGUGAACCAAAACAACACUUUGUUUGUUGGUGCAGCGCGGCGCUGGCACAGAUGGCAGACACUGCACCUGUUCCAAUAAAAUGGGAAGCCGAGAGAUAAACCAUAGCACUCAUUAACAGGAAUCCGCUGAAACAUGAACAAUCUGUAUUUUGAAUCUCUUCCAGGAAGAAAAGGAGAAACACAUAAACAGACCUUGUUUUCAUCAUCGUCAGUUUAACAUUAAUUUCUUUAAAUGGAACUUCACAUUUGUUUCACGUACAGAGGCACUGCGUAGUGCCGAAGAAACGAUGAUGAUGCUUGAAUGUCCUUAAGAGAGCGGGUGAUUUUCUCUAGCUACACGUAUCCUUUGAAACAGAAAGUAUCUGUGGGCAGUUUUAAUCAGUGAAUCCUCCUCUGCCACAGUUGCAGGAGCUUUCUUCUUUCUGUGCUUUCUCAUGCUGAGUAAGAGCACAGUCUUACUACUGAGUCCGUAAUGAUCAGAAUAACAACAUAAACAAAAGCCUCUCUUCUCAUCUAUUAGUAACUAGCAUGGGGGGCGAGGGGGCAGAGAGCUGCCUGUAAACUUUGCAACAAAACUCACUGCUAAAUCGUUCUUUUUCCUGGCAUGGGGAAAAUGCUAUGUAAUAUCUGAUGGACCGUUAAAGAAUGCUGCAAGUUGUUCAGCAUCCCAUAUAGCUCUUUCUCUCACACAUACAUAGAAGAAUUAAAUGUAAAAUGUCAUGAAAAUUCCUAAGUAUCAUUUAAUGCUGGCAGCCCCGCGCUGUAAAGCCAUUUAUAUAGAGCUGUGGUUGGCAGCUCUCACUCUUGCAUGGGAACAAAUUAACAUUGGCAUUCCAAACACAGGAAAGUAAGGAAAUUAGAAACACAGUUUAUAUUUGGCCAGUGCUUUGAAAUACUGUACCAUGCUACUGAUGUCAAUUAAUGAGAAGCAGAAUUUUGCGGAGAGGGUCUGGUUUUGAAACACAUUAACACACGUUAAACAUGUUUGCACAGGAACUGGAUUGGAAGCAUCUCGGUUCCAAAACAAUAAAGCAAUUAC